ensembl:lncRNA
UAUGCGGCACCAGGGCUGCGUCCCACCCCCUCCCAUAGCUCCGAGGGUCCCCGUGCUCACACAGAGCUCCCUGCCCAGCUCUGACCCUGCAGCACAGCUGUGCCAUUGCUCUGCUGCUUGCAGCAGCAUCUGCACUAUUUUAGGUCAUCCUUGCUGCCCAUUUCACACUGCGCUCCCAGCAGAGGUGGCCUGGAGGCACACGCUGGCCACGGCAUUGCCUUCACCUGCUGGCUAUAUCCGUCCAUCCGGGGCACUGGAGGAUGCAGGAUGCCAUGGGGAUGUGACACGACACAGACCUGCUGCUCCCUGCAGCAUCCCCGGGGCUGCCGCCUCCCCCACCGACCCGUGCUGAGGCCAUGGGGUGGGCAGCAGCCCCUCUUCAUCUCAUGGCCCCGCAGCAGGAGCUGCUGGUUAAUUGGCACUUGGCAAUUCCCCGUGGACAGGGACUGGAGGAGCACAAAGGGCCAUUUGUCUGCAGGGCUGCAAGCUUUGAUAAAGCAGGGCUGGGGAUGACUCAGAUGUGGGUAAUUAAAGCAGUUGAGGCUCUGGUAGAGAUAUCGGCUCUGAGCUCCUUCAGCUGCCGGAACUGGGACACGCUGAGCCCAGUGCUGGCAUGGCCAUGAGCCAUGAGCUGCUCCCUGACCCUGAGAGCAGCUGAGCACCCUGCUGGGCACACGGAUGGGGCUGGGGGAUGCAUGCUGUGCUGCUGCUGCUCCGGGCUGAGCUGCUGUACCUGAGAGACUUCACUGGGUUGGCAGCCUUCCUCCAUCCUUCCUCCAUCCUCGCCGUGCAGCGGUGCUCAUCCUCCAGAGCCCAUCAACCAACACCUCGCAAUGUUGAAGCCUGUCUGGAUGUGAGGCACAGCCCGGAGCUGCUCGGGCUGCUCAGCCCACGGACCCAACCUGGCCUCAUCUCUCCCAUCCCUGCCUCGUGCCCAGCAUGGCACUGCUGUGCCCUCAGAAAGACUCCUCGGGUGGUGGCACAGCCGGGCCAGUCCUACACGGCUGCAGGAGCUGCACCUCUCUGACCUGGAGGAGCUGAAGGGAGGGAAUGCAGGGACACAGCUUACUGUUACCCAGCGCUGGGAGCAGUGCGGCCGGGCAGGUGCAAGCUGGAGGAUGAGGUGAUGGAUGCUUCAGUGAGAGGAGUGCUGAUGGGCACAGGGAGAAGCUCUGCGUGAGGAGGCAGCAUCCAUCCCUGCUCCAUUCCCUUCUCCCUGAUUGGAGCUCCACCUAUCCGUCUGUCCGUCUGUCUGCCCAUCCAUCUGUCCAUCCAUCCCUGUCUGCCCGUUGGGCGGUGAGGAGUGGGGUAAGGGAGUGACCCAAAUGCCUGCGGCCGUGCAGGGCUGGGGGUGGCACUUGGAAGCUGAGCAGAGGGGCUGUGCAGCCCUCCCACCUCACCUGGGAGCUUUUGUGCCAAAGUUUCUUUCCAGCGCGGUGCCUCCAGGGCUGCAAACAAUUAACAUCCCCCUGAGGCAUGCUCUAGCUGUGUUCUGGAUGUCUGUAAGCCCCCGGGGGUGUUAGAGAUGGCGUAUGAGCCGGGCCCACCGGCGCCUC